rnacentral:rRNA from 1 species
CAAUAGCGUAUAUUAAAGCUGUUGCGGUUAAAAAGCUCGUAGUUGGAUUUCUGUCAAGGACAACUGGUCCGCCCCUCGGGUGAGCACAUAGUUUGGUCUUGGCAUCUUGUUGGAAACUGUUGCUGCACUUGGUUGUGUGGCGCAGUGUCCAGCACUUUCACUUUGAGGAAAUUGGAGUGUUUCAAGCAGGCACAUGCCUUUGGACACAGUAGCAUGGAAUAAUUAGAUUGGGCUUUUGCUCCAACUUGUCGGUUUCUGGAGCUGAGGUGAGAAUUAAUGGGGAUUGUUGGGGGUAUCCGAAUUUAGCCGUCAGAGGUGAAAUUCUUGGAUCUGCUAAAGACGGACAACUGCGAAAGCGUUUGCCCAGGAUGUUUUCAUUGA